UGGGGUGUGGCUCAGUGGUAGAGUACUUGUCUAGUAUGUAUGAGUCCCUGGGUUCCAUACCCAGUGACCUUA
rnacentral:tRNA from 1 species